UACGUAGGUGGCAAGCGUUGUCCGGAUUUAUUGGGCGUAAAGGGCGCGUAGGCGGCGUGACAAGUCAAUUGUGAAAUCUCCGGGCUUAACUCGGAACGGUCAAUUGAUACUGUUGUGCUAGAGUACAGAAGGGGCAAUCGGAAUUCUUGGUGUAGCGGUGAAAUGCGUAGAUAUCAAGAGGAACACCUGAGGUGAAGACGGGUUGCUGGGCUGAUACUGACGCUGAGGCGCGAAAGCUAGGGUAGCAAACGGG
rnacentral:rRNA from 1 species